rnacentral:lncRNA from 1 species
GCCCGGGGAGAACCCUCACUGAGGACAACUGGACAGCGCCAGCACACUGACCCAGUGACUGGGGACACAAAGAAACAGUUUCUACUCUUCCCCAAGGUCACAGCCCUUGAGAUCCAGUCCCAAGACUGGGGCUCUGACACCUGCCUUUCUUGAGAGCCCACCUGCUGAGAUUUCUAAAUGCAGUCUCCUCCUACACCUAAAGACUCUCAUGAUGUCCUACUCAGACCACCAGCAGUUUCUGCACUCUGCCUUCUGGGCUGGACUUCCUUGUGACACCUGUGCCCAUACUCCAGAUAUUAUCCCACCUUGGUCUGAUUCAUAUCCUAGGCCUUUCCAGUUUAUCCCAUUAUUACCUUAAUUUCCAAAGAAAUAUUUCCUGUCACCAUUUCUUG